GAUGAAGAACGUAGCGAAAUGCGAUAAGUAAUGUGAAUUGCAGAAUUCAGUGAAUCAUCGAAUCUUUGAACGCACAUUGCGCCCGCCAGUAUUCUGGCGGGCAUGCCUGUCCGAGCGUCAUUUCAACCCUCGAACCCCUCCGGGGGGUCGGCGUUGGGGAUCGGCCCUCCCUUAGCGGGUGGCCGUCUCCGAAAUACAGUGGCGGUCUCGCCGCAGCCUCUCCUGCGCAGUAGUUUGCACACUCGCAUCGGGAGCGCGGCGCGUCCACAGCCGUUAAACACCCAACUUCUGAAAUGUUGACCGCGGAUCAGGUAGGAAUACCCGCUGAACUUAAGCAUAUCAAUAAGCGGAGGA
rnacentral:misc_RNA from 1 species